GAAACAAAGAGGAAAAGUAGGUCCAGAAGAGGGUCAUGAAAAUCAUCAGAGGGCUGAAACACCUCUCCUAAGAAGAAAGGCUGAGAGAGUUUGGGGUUUUCAGCCUGGAGAAGAGCAGGCUCCAGUGAGACU